GCCUAGAGGGUCACACACAUAUGGUAGGCAUUGCGAUGAGUAGAGGUUCGGAUAUGAGAUAUUCGACGGAGCCCUUGUCUUAUUGGAUGCAGAUCCAAUACCCACUAGGGAAGGACCCAUUAGGGUUUGACACAGGAUCUCUAUAAAUAGGAGGGAUUCACAGCCUCAUAGGCUAGAGUCUUUGCUUGCCUUUCCUAUUCUCCUCUCCCUCUCCACCUCAGAGUAGGCCUGGAGUUUUGAGGAGCGUCGUCGCAACCCUGCUGUGUGGAUCAUCGCUAGAGAGGAGGACGCUUGACCUCC
rnacentral:lncRNA from 1 species